GGGGGGGGGGGGGGGGGGGCUGGGCGCAGGCAGGGCGGGCGCCCCGCGGGGGGGGCGGCAGACGGGAGAGGAACACGUGGGAACAUACCGGUUGGUGCGGAACAACUGAGGGAAACUUCAGCUAAUACCGGAUAAGCCCUGACGGGGAAAGAUUUAUCGCCGAAAGAUUGGCCCGCGUCUGAUUAGCUAGUUGGUGAGGUAACGGCUCACCAAGGCGACGAUCAGUAGCUGGUCUGAGAGGAUGAUCAGCCUCACUGGGACUGAGACACGGCCCAGACUCCUACGGGAGGCAGCAGUGGGGAAUAUUGGACAAUGGGGGCAACCCUGAUCCAGCCAUGCCGCGUGAGUGAUGAAGGCCUUAGGGUUGUAAAGCUCUUUUGCCCGGGAAGAUAAUGACGGUACCGGGAGAAUAAGCCCCGGCUAACUUCGUG
rnacentral:rRNA from 1 species